AGAGCGAACGCUGGCGGCGUGCCUAACACAUGCAAGUCGAACGAGAAAGUGGAGCAAUCCAUGAGUAAAGUGGCGACCGGGUGAGUAACACGUGACUAACCUACCUUCGAGUGGGGGAUAACCUCGGGAAACCGAGGCUAAUACCGCAUAACAUCGCAAGAUCAAAGCAGCAAUGCGCUGGAAGAGGGGGUCGCGGCUGAUUAGCUAGUUGGCGGGUAACGGCCCACCAAGGCGAAGAUCGGUA
rnacentral:rRNA from 1 species